UACGUAGGGGGCAAGCGUUGUCCGGAAUUAUUGGGCGUAAAGAGCGUGUAGGCGGUCCGGUAAGUCAGCUGUGAAAGUCAAGGGCUCAACCCUUGAAAGCCGGUGGAUACUGUGAGGCUAGAGUACGGAAGAGGCGAGUGGAAUUCCUGGUGUAGCGGUGGAAUGCGCAGAUAUCAGGAGGAACACCAAUAGCGAAGGCAGCUCGCUGGGACGUUACUGACGCUGAGACGCGAAAGCGUGGGGAGCAAACAGG
rnacentral:rRNA from 1 species